rnacentral:rRNA from 1 species
GAUGAACGCUGGCGGCGUGCCUAAUACAUGCAAGUCGAGCGAACAGAUGAGGAGCUUGCUCCUCUGACGUUAGCGGCGGACGGGUGAGUAACACGUGGAUAACCUACCUAUAAGACUGGGAUAACUUCGGGAAACCGGAGCUAAUACCGGAUAAUAUAUUGAACCGCAUGGUUCAAUAGUGAAAGACGGUUUUGCUGUCACUUAUAGAUGGAUCCGCGCCGCAUUAGCUAGUUGGUAAGGUAACGGCUUACCAAGGCAACGAUGCGUAGCCGACCUGAGAGGGUGAUCGGCCACACUGGACCUGAGCCACGGUCCAGACUCCUACGGGAGGCAGCAGUAGGGAAUCUUCCGCAAUGGGCGAAAGCCUGACGGAGCAACGCCGCGUGAGUGAUGAAGGUCUUCGGAUCGUAAAACUCUGUUAUUAGGGAAGAACAAAUGUGUAAGUAACUAUGCACGUCUUGACGGUACCUAAUCAGAAAGCCACGGCUAACUACGUG